AGCAGCAGCCGCGGUAAUACGGAGGAUCCAAGCGUUAUCCGGAUUUAUUGGGUUUAAAGGGUGCGUAGGUGGCCUGUUAAGUCAGGGGUGAAAGACGGUAGCUCAACUAUCGCAGUGCCCUUGAUACUGAUGGGCUUGAAUGAACUAGAGGUAGGCGGAAUGUGACAAGUAGCGGUGAAAUGCAUAGAUAUGUCACAGAACACCAAUUGCGAAGGCAGCUUACUAUGGUUUUAUUGACACUGAGGCACGAAAGCGUAGGGGAUCAAACAGGAUUAGAUACCCCCGUAGUCCCUGUCUCUUAUA
rnacentral:rRNA from 1 species